rnacentral:rRNA from 1 species
UACGGAGGGUGCGAGCGUUGUCCGGAAUCACUGGGCGUAAAGCGUGCGCAGGCGGUUUGUUAAGUCUGUUGUGAAAUCCCCGAGCUCAACUUGGGAAUUGCAAUGGAUACUGGCAGGCUGGAGUAUGGUAGAGGAAGGUGGAAUUCCCGGUGUAGCAGUGAAAUGCGUAGAGAUCGGGAGGAACACCAGUGGCGAAGGCGGCCUUCUGGACCAAUACUGACGCUCAUGCACGAAAGCGUGGGGAGCAAACAGG